rnacentral:misc_RNA from 1 species
AGUGUCGGCCGGCACAAU